CCCUAUGGGGCGCCCAGUGCCGAUGACGGCCAGCCCGUAUUUCGGCGGGACAUCAUCAAUUGUAUGGCCGCCGAUGCUACUGACACCGGCCUCACACGCCUUGUCAUUGCCUCCCCUGAGAAUGUCCCUGUAUACCUCCAUGGGGAUCCGCGAUGACGGGAACAUCAUGAUAUUAAGCGCCACCAACGGUGUCCCGCCCAUGGCAUAUAUAUCACUUAUUUAGUUAGUGGCUGCUAUCAGGCCGAAUUCGUAACCGUCACUGACCAUCGGCGGGAAGAAGUCGGUGGUGAUAACCAGUGCCGUCUCAUCAUUGAUUUUAUAAACCCCGGCAUCAGCAGGGGUCGAAAUAUCAACCAGGAUACGCGGGUCAGCCGGCAGCGGGAAAUCCUGCAGCAGUGCCUCGAGCGGGCGGGAGAGC
rnacentral:rRNA from 1 species